rnacentral:rRNA from 1 species
CUACGGAGGGAGCUAGCGUUGUUCGGAAUUACUGGGCGUAAAGCGCACGUAGGCGGCUGUUCAAGUCAGAGGUGAAAGCCCGGAGCUCAACUUCGGAACUGCCUUUGAAACUAGACAGCUAGAAUCCUGGAGAGGUUAGUGGAAUUCCGAGUGUAGAGGUGAAAUUCGUAGAUAUUCGGAAGAACACCAGUGGCGAAGGCGGCUCACUGGACAGGUCUUGACGCUGAGGUGCGAAAGCGUGGGGAGCAAACAGGAUUAGAAACCCUAGUAGUCC